rnacentral:rRNA from 1 species
GUCAGCUACCGCGCACACGGCCUGCCUGUGUCAGAAAAUCUGUUGGAGCAGGAUUUUUACGCCAGUGGCCCGAACCAGAAGUGGGCAGGAGACAUCACGUACUUACGUACAGAUGAAGGCUGGCUGUAUCUGGCAGUGGUCAUUGACCUGUGGUCACGUGCCGUUAUUGGCUGGUCAAUGUCGCCACGCAUGACGGCGCAACUGGCCUGCGAUGCCCUGCAGAUGGCGCUGUGGCGGCGUAAGAGGCCCCGGAACGUUAUCGUUCACACGGACCGUGGAGGCCAGUACUGUUCAGCAGAUUAUCAGGCGCAACUGAAGCGGGGAGCAAACAGGAUUAGAUACCCUGGUAGUCCACGCCGUAAACGAUGUCGACUUGGAGGUUGUGCCCUUGAGGCGUGGCUUCCGGAGCUAACGCGUUAAGUCGACCGCCUGGGGAGUACGGCCGCAAGGUUAAAACUCAAAUGAAUUGACGGGGGCCCGCACAAGCGGUGGAGCAUGUGGUUUAAUUCGAUGCAACGCGAAGAACCUUACCUGGUCUUGACAUCCACAGAACUUUCCAGAGAUGGAUUGGUGCCUUCGGGAACUGUGAGACAGGUGCUGCAUGGCUGUCGUCAGCUCGUGUUGUGAAAUGUUGGGUUAAGUCCCGCAACGAGCGCAACCCUUAUCCUUUGUUGCCAGCGGUCCGGCCGGGAACUCAAAGGAGACUGCCAGUGAUAAACUGGAGGAAGGUGGGGAUGACGUCAAGUCAUCAUGGCCCUUACGACCAGGGCUACACACGUGCUACAAUGGCGCAUACAAAGAGAAGCGACCUCGCGAGAGCAAGCGGACCUCAUAAAGUGCGUCGUAGAUUACGUGGAUGUAAUCGCGUACGCCAGUACCAUCUUCGGUCGGAUAAUCGUUACCAAAAAUCGCCAGCGAGUCGCGACGGCCUACAGCAACCUGGGCGAUGUAUGGCAUCAGGUUAUUCGGAAUGCCUUUGCGGCGCUAAACGUGCCAGAUGU